rnacentral:rRNA from 1 species
UUUGGUGGCUACAGCGCGAGCAAAACACCCGAUCCCUUCCCGAACUCGGAAGUUAAGUGCCGCAGCGCCAAUGGUACUGCGUCUCAAGACGUGGGAGAGUAGGUCACCGCCAAAC